rnacentral:rRNA from 1 species
AUUGAACGCUGGCGGCAGGCCUAACACAUGCAAGUCGAACGGUAACAGGAAACAGCUUGCUGUUUCGCUGACGAGUGGCGGACGGGUGAGUAAUGUCUGGGAAACUGCCUGAUGGAGGGGGAUAACUACUGGAAACGGUAGCUAAUACCGCAUAACGUCGCAAGACCAAAGAGGGGGACCUUCGGGCCUCUUGCCAUCGGAUGUGCCCAGAUGGGAUUAGCUAGUAGGUGGGGUAACGGCUCACCUAGGCGACGAUCCCUAGCUGGUCUGAGAGGAUGACCAGCCACACUGGAACUGAGACACGGUCCAGACUCCUACGGGAGGCAGCAGUGGGGAAUAUUGCACAAUGGGCGCAAGCCUGAUGCAGCCAUGCCGCGUGCAUGAAGAAGGCCUUCGGGUUGUAAAGUACCUUCAGCGGGGAGGAAGGGAGUAAAGUUAAUACCUUUACUCAUUGACGUUACCCGCAGAAGAAGCACCGGCUAACUCCGUG